AUUGAACGCUGGCGGCAUGCUUUACACAUGCAAGUCGAACGGUAACAGGCCGCCAGGUGCUGACGAGUGGCGAACGGGUGAGUAAUGCAUCGGAAAGUUCCCAGUCGUGGGGGCUAAUUACUCGUAAGAGUAGCUAAUACCGCAUACGAUCUAUGAUUGAGAGCGGGGGGCCGUAAGGGCUCGCGCGAUUGGAGGGGUCGGUGUCGGAUUAGGUAGUUGGUGGGGUAAAGGCUCGCCAAGCCAACGAUCUGUAGCUGGUCUGAGAGGAAGACCCGCCACACUGGGGCUGAUACACGGCCCAGACUCCUACGGGAGGCAGCAGUGGGGAAGUUUAGACAACGGGGGCAAGCCUGAUCCAGCAGUGCCGCGGGCAGGAAGAAGGCGUUCGGGUUGUAAACUGCUUCUGUACGGAGCGAAACGGGUCUGGUUAAUACCCGGGGCUAAUGACGGUACCGUAAUAAUAAGCACCGGCUAACUACGUG
rnacentral:rRNA from 1 species